rnacentral:lncRNA from 1 species
CGCGCAUCUUUUAAGGGAUUUUGCUCAUUCAUGAAUGGGAGGAUGAAAAGUCUAUAACGUGAUGUUGCCCUGUUAAGUAUCUUUUCUCUCUGUCAGUUAAUAAGCAUUUAUUAAGCUCUGCUGAGCGUCAGGCCCUAAGGGAUACAAGGAGCGCUUGUGAUUUGAUUAAUGACUCCUGUCUGUUUUUCAGUAGAGUCGGGGCCAGCUGUUGACUUGAACUCUGUUACCCUGAUAUUAAGUCCAGUAACCUGUGGAAAUUCCAGAGUAAAUCCAAUGGACAUGGAAAAACAGCUUAAGCCACAGACGUUCUGGUUUUGUAGCAGAAGCACAAACAGCUGCUCAGGAUAGGAGACAAGCUGCUUAUGGAGGUAAAAGCAGAGAAGGAGGAAGGAAAAAGCAAGACAAAGGAACAAAGAGGAAGAGAAGUGAGAGAGACAACAAAGACAAUGAAGUUCAUGAGGAAAGAAAGAGGUAUAUAUGGUGGGGAAGCUUAGAGUGCCGUAAAGUUGCCUGUAUGGGCUCUAGUUAUGCUAUAGAACCUAAAGUAAAUAAAGCUUCUGGCCUCUAGAAGCCA